CGUGGGUGAUCUGCCCUGCACUUCGGGAUAAGCCCGGGAAACUGGGUCUAAUACCGGAUAGGACUGCGCGGUGCAUGCCGUGUGGUGGAAAGAUUUAUCGGUGCAGGAUGGGCCCGCGGCCUAUCAGCUUGUUGGUGGGGUAAUGGCCUACCAAGGCGACGACGGGUAGCCGGCCUGAGAGGGCGACCGGCCACACUGGGACUGAGACACGGCCCAGACUCCUACGGGAGGCAGCAGUGGGGAAUAUUGCACAAUGGGCGCAAGCCUGAUGCAGCGACGCCGCGUGAGGGAUGACGGCCUUCGGGUUGUAAACCUCUUUCAGCAGGGACGAAGCGCAAGUGACGGUACCUGCAGAAGAAGCACCGGCCAACUACGUGCCAGCAGCCGCGGUAAUACGUAGGGUGCAAGCGUUGUCCGGAAUUACUGGGCGUAAAGAGCUCGUAGGCGGUUUGUCGCGUCGUCUGUGAAAACCAGCAGCUCAACU
rnacentral:rRNA from 1 species